rnacentral:misc_RNA from 1 species
GAUGAAGAACGUAGCGAAAUGCGAUAAGUAAUGUGAAUUGCAGAAUUCAGUGAAUCAUCGAAUCUUUGAACGCACAUUGCGCCCCCCAGUAUUCUGGCGGGCAUGCCUGUUCGAGCGUCAUUUCAACCAUCAAGCCCUGCUUGUGUUGGGGUCCUGCGGCUGCCCGCAGGCCCUGAAAACCAGUGGCGGGCUCGCUAGUCACACCGAGCGCAGUAGCACAUCUCGCUCAGGGCGUGCGGCGGGCUCCAGCCGUUAAAGCACCCACCUUUCGCAAGGUUGACCUCGGAUCAGGUAGGAAUACCCGCUGAACUUAAGCAUAUCAAUAAGCGGAGUA